rnacentral:rRNA from 1 species
UGCAACUCGACUCCAUGAAGUCGGAAUCGCUAGUAAUUCCAGAUCAGCAUGCUGGGGUGAAUGCGUUCCCGGGCCUUGUACACACCGCCCGUCACACCAUGGGAGUCGGAAAUGCCCGAAGUCUGUGACCCAACGAAAGAGGGAGCAGCCGAAGGCAGGUCUGAUAACUGGGGUGAAGUCGUAACAAGGUACC